AUGCGGCCGUAUGGCCAGGGCUGGCCUUUAGCUUUCUCCAUCUGUUGGCGUGCGAGGAGAGAGGAAGCGGCUGUUUGUUUCUGUAGCAGUACAUCUGUUCGAAAACUCAUUGGCGUGGACGAGCUCGCCUGGUCACGUUAUCACGAGCCGUCCACUCGUUCGAGGAUAUGCAUCAUACGUUGUAUUACUUGGCAUGUACGCGCCUCAUUUAAUGCCUAUUGUGGACCGGAGGAGCUGACGUUGUGCCGAUUGUGCAAACGGCAAGUAACGCCGGUUAUGGGUUGUAGACGGGCUGGGAUCGGCCACCGACUCCAUUUUACUCCACUUCGGGCUGGGAUCUGCCACCAACUCCAUUUUACUCCACUUGUCGCUCUCUCACGGCCGCUCAGUCUCUGCCAAACGAUCCCCCAAAAAUGUUCCGCGAGCAUAUUAGUCUCAAUGAGCUACUACCAUCCAGGAUAA
rnacentral:rRNA from 1 species